AUUCACAUGCCUCAGCCCGAGCUCCUUAAUCUCCUCUCUUUCUUGAGUUUCUUUGCCUAAUUGAGCUCUUUCGAGUUGAUUAAGUAAAGGACUCAAGUGCUAGCUCGCCCCAAAAUAAAAUUUGAGUAGUAAUUAGUGAAGUUCAUAAGCCAGAAAACACAAAAAUAUUUCCUCUCCAAAUAAAAUCAUGGCACGCUGAACGUUUGUGGUGGUUUAAUGCCCCGCAAGAACAACUAACGACUAAUGCUAACCCUCUUCUUAACCCCUUGUUUCCUUCAGGUAUUGUUCGUACUAAUCUUUUGCAGGCACCAUGCUGAAUCGAGCCAAGGAGAGAAGAUCAAGAAGCUCGCGAGGUUCGUCUUCUUCUCGGGAUAGCAUGUCGGUCGACUCCGGUCACCGCUCCCACGCAUCCCGGGAAGAAGAAGAAAUUCCUGCAGUCCCACGAAGCUGCUUCCAUAUCAGGAUCCUGACGAUGGUUGAACAAAUCAUCUUCAAGAACGACUACGAGCGGCAAGCACUCGAGCUGCUAAAGAGGCAAACAAAUGCCCAUGCCAAGAGGUUCGAAACCCGCUUCCUCAUCACGACGGGACUCUUGCAAGACAUGAACCAAGCUUUCACUGCCGUCGGAUGUGAGAACUUCGCCGACAUCAUCGAGCCAGACGUCACGAGUGAAGCCGUCUACGAGUUGGUCGCUGAGCCGAUCUAGGAGCCGCAAGCAGGGGAACUGCAAGCCGAAGCAGUUGUCGAGCCAGCUCCAGAGGAAGGCACUAACCCCGCUGACCUGCAAGGCAAGCCCCGGAGCAUAACCCUAAUUUCAGUAUUCGAUGUUUAUUAUAUAAGUAUUUGUGCAUUUAUGUUAUAGGAGUUGUAUGGAACCCUAGUAUGCAUAUUCGCCCUAGGUACCUGAGGGUCUAUACUAGUAUACAUGUGUCGUUAGAAAUGCUCUGCUAAGUAGGAUCUCGGUAGAAGUCGAGUGAUUCCUGUCACUCGCAAGAUUUGAGAUCUUGUUUCUUAUGGCAAGUGGCUUGGAAAUGAAUCAAUGAGGAAAGAGAAAUGGAGACCGGGCGGAGAUGAGUUGAUUCUGGAUAUGAAUUGGAUGGAAAGAAAACCUCCGCCUGUGUCGAUUGAGGACCGUACCAUUGCUGGCCCUGUUGAUCGAGGAUUGAACAGUAUUAACCACAUGCCAGAAGUAGGAGGUAGUCGAAACCGGUAAGCUGUGUACCGCUUUACAACGAUAGUUUGAAUUCCGACCUACUACGCUGGGUGUGGAAGUUGGCGGGUGUUGGAUAGGAUGCCGCUUUCGGGUUCUGUGGGAGUUCACCGUGAGGGGCCCAUCACCUGGAUUUUAGCAGGCGUGGUUCAGAUGUCGUGGUAAUGAUGGGAACACUUGACGCGCGUGUCCCGACGGGGCUUACAUGUGUCGUGUUGGUUAGGUCCACCUUGCAAGGUUAAAUCAAAUCGAUUAGCCGUGUCUCGCGGAUAUGAGAGCCUUGAUCACUGCGUCACAUCGUAGUAAAGGAUGUAAAUGAGAAUGGAAUGAAAAUGUUCUUUGGUGUUUUACUAGAGGUUUAAUUGAUCUACCAUGUGUGCUCUAGAUGCUAUGGCAAACCUAGUUGGUACUCCAAUACUAAACUUGAGCUAAAAUAUUGAAAGUAAAAAUUUACUACUAGUAGCUUUUCAGCAAAA